GAAGCGUCAACCCGGCCCCGCCCAGGCGGACAAGACCGGGACCGUCCCACCGCAAGGCGGGACAUGCC
rnacentral:sRNA from 1 species